ACUGAAUACAGGCUUUUAUUUUCUCAUUUCCAAAGUCAACUGCUCCUGGUAGAAGAGAAGCAUUCUUUGAAAACUCAUCUGCCAGCUCCACAGAAGAUUUGCACCAACAAAGCAAUUCAAUCAACUGAGUAACUGAAUCGCUCUUCAAGGUCUUCCUUUUCUUAUAUCUUUCUUUCUAUCUCCUUCGAAGAAAGAAGAGCAUCAUCACUCAAUUAGAAGUAUAUUGUGUAAACUUGCCCAGCCUUGAAACUAAGGUGUUCAUUACUAGGUGGAACAGCACAUCUUCAAGCUCAAAAAAAGACUAGAUUUGGGGUCUAAAUUAUUUUUCAAUGCAUUUAUUCAUUAGACAGACCCGUUUAUUAGAUUAACAAGCGAUUUAAUUUGCUCCAAAGAAAAUGAUAAAUGGCUUAGAGAUGCUGUGAAGUGAUACUCAAACCACAUGAAUGGAAAACACAAACCACAAUAAGUGAAUCAGUCCACAAGACAGACGGCAUUUUAUUUGAUGUUAAAAAAAUAGUGAAAGCUCGAUGGCAAGGUGAUUUUUAAUCAAACCGACUAAACAGGAAUAAAAAGCUUAAGUUUUUAGUAGUUAAUGCAUAAAAUGGUUGGUUUUGCGGAGUGAAUAAAGCCGACGUGUCCUGAGGCAAUGUCAACUAGAUCCAUGCAAUAUUGACCAUCACUGUUUAAUAGAGGGCACCGAACAGAACAGAAGACUAUAAUCCUGAACGUCAAUUUAAGAGACAACUGUUUGUUUUGCUUUGUUUUAGCCGUUUCUAUCAAGCCAAACAAACCUGGAACUCUCUAAGGUCGAAUAAACUUGAAUAAGCAAUCCCGUGCCAUCCAGAGGUAUCGUUUUCAAGCCAUGCUCCCGUGGACAGCCAUAGUUUCUAAUAAGUUUCAAAGAUGUGCAUAAAACGUCUAUCAUUGGCUGGCUGCUUGUAAACUAGGAUGAUACUUUCCGCUUACACACCAAAAACUGACUUCUUUCCACAGUUUGGUAGUACUUAAAAUGUAAUCUAGCAAGCUGGUUAAGGGAGACAUCUGCCAAAUGCAUAUACGUUGUAGGUUCAUAGCGGCGUUGUCUUUGCUGGGCUUGGGAAUCUAAGGAAUGCUGUUCUUUAAUGUAACACUAAGACCCAAGAAUGGUUCAGUAGAAUUGAACUCUAGAGUUAUCUCCAGUUUUUUUGGAAUAUAAAAUCCCUUACACUUUAAGUUUCGACUGAAGAUUUUGAAAAAGUUAUUACAUUGGACUUGGUUUUCCUUUGCGGCAUAAUUGCACAACAAUCCAUGCAGACAUCCAUGAAGGCAUAUUCCAUUUAAUGGGGAAACUCAAGAAGCCAUUAUCAGCUCGGAUCUGUUUAUCUAGCUCAUAGAGUGAACUCACGUCCAUUUUCGUUAUUCCUUUAUGUUUGUUUAGCUUUAUUUGUUUUGUUUUCUUUGAGCUUCUCUUGAUAAAUCUAUCAUGUUGGCUUUUGACUUUGAUUUAUUUGCAAUUAAUUUUGCACGAGGACACGUGCUUUUCGAGACAAAUAGCAUUACAAGAAACCAUUUAAUUUUUCCUCAAUGCUCAGCAUUCAGACCAAAUUAAGUCAUCCAUACUGCCUCUUAUCAAAUAUGUCGUUUUAUCGGUUUAACUUGUGAUCCAAACUUAAUGCAUUUUAUUAACCUGUUGCUGUAAUCUUUGUAGCUAUCGUGAUGACAUAGAAAACAUUCUUCGUGAAGCUUUUGAUUGUUUUGCAGAAACAGCUCAACACCAUAAAGGUUUCUUCAACGACAAAGACACAAUAGGUUCACUGUUUGCAGUAAAGACAGAUUUCGUGGCUUUGCAGACACACACCCUGCAUCAACAUGUACUUGACUGGCUGGCUGAAGGAUGGAUUGGAAAUAAAUUGAUUUUUAAAUCAACUGUGUUUUAAAAUACAUAAUAAAAGUCUAACAACUUUAAGAAGCAACUUUUUUAUUUUUCAAUUUAUGAAUAUGUUCUUAUUUUACUGACUGUGCAUGGCUAGUGUUUGUAGUCAUUCUAUGUUAUAUGUUUUAACAUAUAAUAUUUAUCAGUUUUAAUAAAAGUUUUAACAUUUAUUUUUUCUUUUAAA
rnacentral:lncRNA from 1 species